rnacentral:rRNA from 1 species
GUGAGGAAUAUUGGACAAUGGGCGCAAGCCUGAUCCAGCCAUGCCGCGUGCAGGAAGACGCAUCUAUGGUGUGUAAACUGCUUUUGUACGGGAAGAAACACUCCCUCGUGAGGGAGCUUGACGGUACCGUAAGAAUAAGGAUCGGCUAACUCCGUGCCAGCAGCCGCGGUAAUACGGAGGAUCCAAGCGUUAUCCGGAAUCAUUGGGUUUAAAGGGUCCGUAGGCGGUUUAAUAAGUCAGUGGUUAAAGCCCAUCGCUCAACGAUGGAACGGCCAUUGAUACUGUUAGACUUGAAUUACAAGGAAGUAACUAGAAUAUGUAGUGUAGCGGUGAAAUGCUUAGAUAUUACAUGGAAUACCAAUUGCGAAGGCAGGUUACUACUUGUGGAUUGACGCUGAUGGACGAAAGCGUGGGGAGCGAACAGGAUUAGAUACCCUUGUAGUCC